rnacentral:tRNA from 1 species
UGGCUCAGACGGUAAAGAAUCUGCCUGCAAUGCAGAAGACCCAGGUUCAAUCCCUGG